rnacentral:rRNA from 1 species
UACGUAAGGGGCAAGCGUUGCUCGGAAUUACUGGGCGUAAAGGGCGUGUAGGCGGUUCUGCAAGUCGAAUGUAAAAGACCGAGGCUCAACCUCGGGACUGCGUUCGAAACGGCAGGGCUUGAGUCUGGUGGAGGGUAAUGGAAUUCCCGGUGUAGCGGUGAAAUGCGUAGAGAUCGGGAAGAACACCGAAGGCGAAAGCAGUUAUCUAUGCCAAGACUGACGCUGAGGCGCGAAAGUAUGGGGAU